rnacentral:rRNA from 1 species
GAAGAUAACCUUAUUAAGAGGAAUUGGCAUGGAAGUGCGCAAUGUGUAUUUUGUCCGCAUGAUGAAACAAUAAAACAUUUGUUCUUCCAAUGUAAAUUGGCUCGUUCUAUAUGGUCAGUUAUUCAAAUAGCUUCUGGCUUGUAUCCUCCUUGUAGUGUUGCUAAUAUAUUUGGCAACUGGUUACAUGGAAUUGAUCACAGGUUCAGAGUUCUACUUAGGGUGGGAGCGUUUGUCGUGAUUUGGUCGCUUUGGCUAUGUAGAAAUGAUAAUUUUUUUAACGAUAACAGUACUUUGUUUAUGCAGAUUAUCUACAGAUGUACUGGGACGCUUCGUUUAUGGCCCUCUCUACAACGAGUGGAGAAUCGAGACCUGUUUACGGAGGUGUGUACAUGA